GAGUGUAACAGGCAAAAGGGAAGAAGUUGAAAAACUUUAAUUACAGCGUGGAGAAAAGUUUUCACCAUUGAUCUCCUUAACCCUGGAUGACAAACACCCGAACGCUCCAGCAGCCCGUGGCACUUUGUUUAAGUUUGGGAGAAGCAGAUAAUAUCAACUCCCAAAUAACAGUGCCCUUGGGACAGUCAGUGCCUCAAAGAGGUUGGAACUCGGGUUUCAGCAACAAAAGCAAACCGUAAGUAAUAGUCUUCGUCCUUUAAGAUAUCAUUUCGCAGAAGAACAAGGCACUGCACCUGGACUUUAAACGGAUGGAGAACAACAUUAAAUUUCAUUUGAAUCUGAGAGUCAUCCAGUUGAGAAAAAGCACAGCCACAGUGACAAGAGCAACAGAGCACCGUCACAAAGGUAUGGAAAGUGGUAAAAAUGCAUGAACUUCUGUUUUCAAAGAACAAUAAAGAUAAAUAAAAAGUAAGUUUUCUAGACAUGCCUUUCCUAGCUUAGGAAAGUUAAUUUCCCAAUGUGCUUUUGCUGUCAAAGGUGCAAAGCCAAGGCGAGGGAGUGCGUGGCUGGAAUCUGCAUGCUGAUAAGAGAAGGGUGAUGUACUUACAGUGACAGAGGGCAGGCUGCGGGAGAAAAGCUGUUUGUGUUAGCCUGCGAGUUACCCAGGGCUGCAGUGAGAGCCGAAGGGAGGAGGCGUGGGAGUGCCCGUCUGCGUACACCUUCACCGCGUCUCAUUACAUCUGCCAGCCUCUCUCUCCCUCUCUCUUUCAUUUCCACAUUCCCUUUGUUCCUGAAAAAAAAAUCUACACGUCACAUCAGAGUCCCCAGAUGCAGUCUACACCAAAGAAAAAAAUGAAUAAUUCAAUCAAACUGUGCAUAGUCUCUAAGGCAAUAAAUCUAUCGCACUUAAAGAAACGAAGGGUAAUUACUACCAUAGAAUUAGAAUAAGGCCAAAGACCAGAGAUGUCGCUGAGUCUCUGGAUAAACUCCACAGUCAAAUAAAGUUUCAUUUAUUUGAUCCUUUUUACAUCUCGAACGGGAAGUCCGACAAAAAAAAUUAAACUUAUUUUAGAGCUAUUCGCGUCUUUUGAAACACAGUCUAGAGAGUGGGGGAGGGUAUUGGAGGGUCUACCUUGUUCAAAAGCUCCCAAAGACUUCAGCUGAGCGCCCGGCACAGACACCAACCAAGACAAUGCGUGCCGGUGGAGCCUGUCCAGAGCCCUCUUCUCCCACUCCACCCUCUUCCACUCCCCUCUCAACAGCAGAGCGCCCUCCGCUUGCCCACCACUGUGAUUCUACAGGAGGGCAGCUGUAAUCUGAGAGUCUUACCUGCGGCAAUGCGAAGACCCAAAAGAAACUGUCUUUCGCUGCCACCAACACCCCGUGCCAUUCCUAUGCACCCCUCCAAAGUCCCGUAACCAUCUAGUUCUUCCAUCUGCCUACGAGAAACUGUAUACCGGAUUCCCUCCCACCCCCCACGACUGAAUGGAAGCUCUAUACGGAACUGACUUCUGGAUAUGCCCUGGGUUGAGUUAAAGCGAUGUCUGGAAAGGAAAAGAAGGGAAGGAAAAAAGGAGGGGGCAGCUCAAGCCCUAUCCAAGUUAAUCAGAAGGCGGUGUUAGGCGGGAAGCGCCUACGGGAGAAACAGCUGGGCUGCACACUGGCCAUGCAGAUCGCAGUUCUAGGAACCGUGUCCUUCGUCCCAGAGGGCCCUACUACAUCUCUGGAUAACCUGGAUGGAGUUCAAUAUGUAAUCCAGUCCAGGCUUGCCUUGAACUUUCAGUCAUCCUGACUUGGCCUCUCAAAUAUUACUGGCAUUUUCUUGUGAGGAUGAAUUAUCUAUAUAGAUUUUAAAAACAAAAAAACAAAAAAAAAAU